UACAGAUUCAGGGGUCAGAAUAUUCAAACUCGGGGAGACUUAGCAUGGGAGGAGGUCUGGAUUUGGGGGGUGAACAUGUUCAGGGUUUGGGGAUGCACAUGCAAAGGCUUAGGAGGUGAGUUAUGCACAUUCCAGGUCUGAGAAAGUAGGCAUAAAGGCUUGGGAAGUGAGGGUAUCCAGGUUUAGAGAAUAAGGGCGCGUGGGUUUAGGGCGAGGGUGUACAGGAUUAACAGGCAGUUACAUGGAUUCCAGGGCACAUAUAUGGACCCCUGAGUGUGUCUGGGCUCUGGGGGUCUGCAGCCCAGAAUGUGUGAGGGCUUAAAUGUGGGGUGCACAGGAAAUGAGAUUGUCCAGGCCUGGGGAGAAAGACAUGGUGGUCCAGGUGUGGGGGGUGUAGGCUGCUGAGAGAGGGUGGAGCGUGGCAGCCAGGGAAAUGAGUGUGAGCUCUUCUAGAACUAGAGGAUGCCCAGGCCUUUGUGAGGGUAUGCUGGUUCAAAAGAUGGAAGAAGGGGGCCUGGAAGAGAUUGUGCAGGCCUGGGGACCGGCUCUCAGUCUUAGAUCAGCCCUGGCCUCCAGCUCACCUUCCCUUCUCCCAUCACCUCUCCCUAGCACCCCGUCAGGAUGCCUCUGGGCAGAGUCUAGAAAGCUUCAAGCGUUCGGGUGAAGGGAAGUCGGAUACUGCAGGUGAGCUGGAUUUCAGUGGCCUGUUGAAGAAGAGGUGAGCCCCGGACCUGGGACAGAGAGGGGAAG